GAGGAAUUUUGCGCAAUGGGGGAAACCCUGACGCAGCAACGCCGCGUGAGUGAUGAAGGCUUUCGGGUCAUAAAGCUCUGUCAAGUGGGAAGAACCUGCAGUAUGCUAAUAUCAUAUUGCACUGACGGUACCA
rnacentral:rRNA from 1 species